CGUAGGGUGCAAGCGUUAAUCGGAAUUACUGGGCGUAAAGCGUGCGCAGGCGGUUUUGUAAGGCAGAUGUGAAAUCCCCGGGCUCAACCUGGGACCUGCAUUUGUGACUGCAAGGCUAGAGUACGGUAGAGGGGGAUGGAAUUCCGCGUGUAGCAGUGAAAUGCGUAGAUAUGCGGAGGAACACCGAUGGCGAAGGCAAUCCCCUGGACCUGUACUGACGCUCAUGCACGAAAGCGUGGGGAGCAAACAGGAUUAGAUACCCUGGUAGUCCACGCCCUAAACGAUGUCAACUGGUUGUUGGGUCUUUACUGACUCAGUAACGAAGCUAACGCGUGAAGUUGACCGCCUGGGGAGUACGGCCGCAAGGUUG
rnacentral:rRNA from 1 species